rnacentral:sRNA from 1 species
CCCAAAGAUGGAGAUAGGUCACUACCGUUUGUAGCCUCUAGCAAUAGGAUUGCAGCACAAGCCUUAUUGGGAACACUGGGAGCAGGCUCUACCGCUGCUUGGACCACAUGAAUGCUGGGUGUGUGUGGUGGAGAGGAUGCUGUGAAGCUGACGUGGGUGCACACAGAUUUUGGAGCACCGCCAUGUUUUCUGCUGGAGAGAGCUAGUUACCUUUUGGUUCUGUUCGGCAGGUGCUGGGUCAUCUCCUGGCUUGCGUUUGGACUAUAGUUGAGGCAGCAGCUGACCGUGAACUCUCUAUUGACCGGGUUGAUUAUUGUGAACUGGGUUUUGUACCACUCAGAUCAUAAGUCCAGGCUGAUACAACGGCACCCCAUCCGGAGAGGGAAGAGGACAGAGAAAGCCCCGAGACUUGAACCGACAACCAGCCACUGGAGGCAUGCUGUGUAUUUUUUUGGAAAAGGCAUCCGGUCUUCAUUCCUGGAUUCUAAUGUUGGCCUGUCAGAUGGCAUGGAGGUCUGGGUGAAGAUAGAAAAAUGGGGGGCUCCCCCCCAAGGAGCCUCACCUCUACCUGGAAAGAAGAAAUGACUGUGGGCCUAUUGACCAGCUCGCUGACAAGAUUGUGAUGACCGGGGCAGUUUUUAUUUUGGAAGUCCAAAUGAACGUUUUGUAUUAGUUUGCAUCUCUCUGUUGCUGUGACAAAGACCACGACCCAAAGCAACUGAGGGAGGAGGCGGUUUGCUAAGUUCACACUCCGGAUCACAGUCCGUCGACGGAAGGCAGCGCAGAAACUGGCAGGCAGUACCUGAAGAAAAUUGUUGCACGGACCUCUGGGCCAAACCGAUAGGGUCAUUUUCUCAUUUGAUGUUCCCUCUUCUGUAUGAGCCUAGCUGUGCCAAAUUAACAAAAAUAUAACUAGCAUACUUUGUAUUUUAAAGUGUGUCUGGUUUUGUUUUGUUUUAAAUUGCCAUUCUGCCUUAAAGAAAUUGUUACUUUUUCCCCUAAACCCAGAGCCCUCCCAUGCCACAGCUCUGCUGCAAUGCCACUGGUGCCCAGCAGAGGGCGACUUCGCUCUUCCCAGCUCCUGCGCGCAGGGACGUGGCCGGUUUCUGUGCAGGCUUGGAGGCUUUAUUUUAAUAAACGAUCUUUGCAAACUUUCUGCCACAGUAAGACAUGCAGACCGCGAUGCGCUUUGGGCUUAAGCUCAUGUGUGUUUGGUGAGAUAAUGUUGUUUAUGGUCCUCUGCCCUCCAGACGUUCUGGUUGAUCUGAUAGCCCGUGGAGACCUGCGGUCUGAGACUCAGUGGGAAUCGAGGCUGAGGAAGAAGGGAAGAGUGUGCUUUGCGGUUGCCUGAAAAAGGACCUUCCAGCACAAAGGUUAUAGGUGCAGUCCCAUGCUGCCCCAGCGUCAAGGUACUCUUGUCUGUGAAGCAGAGUGCUAUUACCUGCUUACAGGGAGCUUAUAAGGAUCAAAGAAGCCCUCCCUGUAUGUGAAGCGCUGAGGACAUGGUCCGGUCUUUGGAGGCCGUCAGUGAACGCUCUGACGGCCCUCACGGCUCUUCUUCUGUACUGACAACCAUAUUGUGAAGCACGAAGCCUGUCUAAGUGCCUCAUGAUUCAUUGAUGAGACCCGUGUGGCUGAAGAUAACCAAGCAAAGAGUUCUGUUCUGGCAAGUGUGGUCAGCAGCGGGUACCCGGGGAAUACACAGUCACCAGGAGGAUACCUGAGCUCCAGGGCCUCUGGAGCUGAAGGAACAGCAGCCGCGUCUCCCCAGGGCAUUGUUAGAAAUGUACAUCCGGGGCUGGUAGGAAGCAGUCUGGGCCUCUCUUGUCCUCCUCAUGAUCCUGGUGCCAUCUCUGGUCUGAGCUGCACUUUAGAAUCAUCUGGAGGAGACCUUCCAGGGCGCACACGGAAAAGGUUUAAUCACGAUGUCCAGGGAUGGAGUCGGAUUUCAGAGCCAGGUUGUAAACCGGGACUUCAGAUGUGUGAACCCGCUGGGUUGUGCCUCCAGCCUUAAGCAUCUGCCAUUUUUUUUUUCAAGAUUCCCAAGAGAUGCUAGUGUGUAGCAAGAGGGAGGAAUCUCUGCCUUAAACCCAACCUGGAACGGAGCAAGUUCUUCUCGUGGAGAGCGGGUGUCAGACAAGCAGAAAUAGUGACUGAAGUAGGGAUUGGUAAGGACAUUUGGGUUUAAGGGAUGGGAAGGGUUAAGGGAGACGCUGGUGCCCACAGAAGGCUUCCAAGAAGCCAUUACCUAGAUGGUGUUUAAAAAACCGAACUGGGAGGCCAGCUGCCUGGGUGCAAAUCCUGAUGCUAUCCUCACUGCUGGUGUGAGCUCCUGCUAGUCCCCUGUCCUCUUAGCUCCUCCUUCACACUGGCUUCUGUAGGAACAGGAAUUCAGAAUUGCUGGAAAGCACGUUGCAAUCUUGAGUUGAGGUAAGAGGCUAGAAUGUCUGAAGGACUUAGUGUAGUAAGAGAUGACACUGGAGAUGUGAGGGGGUCAAAGUCACAGAGAUCCCUGGACUUAAAGGGGCUUAAGAAGCCGCUGGGGAGUGACAGGUGCUGGGGAGCCACCUAAGGGUAUAUGAGGAAAAUCCAGUCUGAGCAUAGCAAGCAGAGGAGUGUGACCCAGAAGGGCUGGUCCAGCAGGGGGUGUGACGGUGCCUGCCAGCCAGAGGGUCACUGGGGACCUGUUGAAAUGGUAAAUCGGAGCUUAGAUACACACUGCCUGCUGUGGAGGGGGACAGGAGAGGAGAGAUAGACCAGGGACCUUGCCCUCAGCUGGGGAACAGCCUGGGUGCCCAGUGCCAGCACCAGGCUUUCCCGGUUUGCUCGUUCAUUUCCAUGAGAGUAAGUCUGAGGCAUCCUGAGGCAGGCUCCCCCGCCCCACUUCCUGGAAACUAUUCUGGAGUAAUUUUGGCUUGGGGUUGAAGGCUGUGAGGACCCAUGCAGGCAGGGUUAUCUCUUGAAUGCCAUCCAAACCUGUGGAUUCUCAUCUCCAGCUUCUCCUUCCCCACCUGACAGGCAGGAUCAUGCCAUCGGCCACCGGUUCCUCCACAGACAAUACAAGCCUCCCCGAGAAGCUCCCCUGACUGGUGACCUUUCUAGAAAUGAAAAGCAGUGGUGGGGUGGCACUUUAGACUGGCUGUCCUGGCGUCUGUGGUAGCAGAGAUGCUGGAAGCUGGCAAGGGCCUGCGAGGUCACUGCCCCUCCCUAGAUACCUGGCCCAGUGUUUUGUCAGGCAGAAGCUGGGUGAGGCCCCUUGACUGGAUUGGGAGAGAAGCAGAAUUCAAUUACUAGCCUGGAAGGCCUUGCUGAGUAUUAGAUUAUCAGAAUUGUCGGCUGGGCUUUGGCCCUCGGGGCUCUUCGGGCAGGACUGAAGGUAAAAUCCGGUUGCAGCGUCAUCCUCCCAGGUCCUAGGGGCUGGGUACAACCUAACAGCCUUAACGAUGUAAUAUGGCUCCUCCCCAAACUGGGGAGAGGUGGAGGCUGCUGGGCUAGGUCUUCUCUGAGGCCCUGUCAGUUCUUCCUGGUGCCAGGAGGUGAAGGAUAUUGCCAUAGGAUACAUGGAGGCAGGAGCUGGACUGAGAGUCCAUGGGAACCCAUGGCCUUGUUGGCCUGCACAGGAUAUACCAGAGACACUAAACUGAAAGUCCAGAUGAGGCAUUGGGUAAGGCUCGGCUGCUGUGUCUGCUGAGUGGGAGUUGCCAAGCAACGCAGGGACAGGAACCUCUGGGCAUCUGUCCACCCCUUAGCCAGCAGAGGUGACAGUGGCAACCGAUGUCAACUGAACUUUAGUUACCUGUGGCAACUACAAUGGUGAAUGACCCAGGAACCUGGUCAUGGUAGCUUGGGUCUGGCGUGAGUGUCCUGCCCCUUGCUGCUGCUGUGGUCCUGUUCUGGUUGUGAGAGGAGGCCAUCGGCUCAUCCUGAAUGGGGGAGGAAGUGCUGGGAGGGUGGGUUAGAGAGAGGAAGAUCUGAGCAGCCAGAGGGAGCAAAAUGUCCUGGUUUUCAAAAUGAGGAGGAUCCAGCUUUUGGCACAUAAGCUUAAUGCCACUCAAAAGCACUCUGGAAUUAUUAAACAGAUGGCCUGGGAGCUCGUUACAAAGAACAUGCUCGUUCCGGAGUAGUUCAUUAAGUCAUGGCCAGCCAUACCCAGUGAGUUUUGUUACCAGAGGAUCCCCGCCCCCACGCACUUUUCAACAUAUUCAUGGCCAGCCAGGAAAAGCAAAGGUUCUUUGGCAAACCACUGUAUGUAGUCUGCCAGGCUGCCUGUGUACACACGAGACAGAGGUGAGCCGCGGGGAAGGCUACUGUAUCUGUGGCCUUUGGAGCUUGGGUCCAGUCACCAAAGUCAGAGGAAAGCAGUGGAAAGGAAUGUUACAGCGAGCCCAGCGGGACCUGUGUUCAUAGGAGAAGCAUUCUGAGACCUGUAGGGAACCCCUGUGACUGUAUAGUACCAAGUCCUGAAUAUGUUUCUUCCUGUGUCCAUAUGCUUAUGGUCGAUCUCU